UUUCAAUGAUGAAAUGAAAAAUUUUUGACAAGCAUAUGUCUGAAAUAAAAUUUGAUGAUAUUUAGUAUCUGAGAAA